rnacentral:rRNA from 1 species
GACGAACGCUGGCGGCGGGCUUAACACAUGCAAGUCGAACGGCAAGGCGCUGCUUUUGUGGGGUGCUCGAGUGGCGCACGGGUGAGGAACACGUGAGUGACCUGACCCUGACCUUGGGAUCACUUCAGGAAACUGGGGGUCAUACCGGUUAGGAGCGUCUGCUGCUUGGUGGGGGUUGGAAAGUUGCGGCGGUUGGGGAUGGGCUCGCGGCUUAUCAGCGUGUUGGUGGGGUAGUGGCUUACCAAGGCUUUGACGGGUAGCCGGCCUGAGAGGGUGACCGGCCACAUUGGGACUGAGCUACGGCCCAGACUCCUACGGGAGGCAGCAGUGGGGAAUAUUGCACGAUGGGCGGAAGCCGGAUGCAGCAACGCCGCGUUCGGGAUGACGGCCUUCUGGUUGUAGACCGCUUUCGCCUGUGACGAAGCGUGAGUGACGGUAAUGGGUAAAGAAGCACCGGCUAACUACGUG